GACGAACGCUGGCGGCGUGCCUAAUACAUGCAAGUCGAACGGUCUUUUCUAUGGAAGCUUGCUUCCACUGGGAAGAUAGUGGCGGACGGGUGAGUAACGCGUGGGUGACCUGCCCCGAAGUGUGGGAUAACAGUCCGAAAGGAUUGCUAAUACUGCAUAAUAUCCAAGAGAUUAGACGCUUUUGGAUUAAAGGAGUAAUUCGCUUCGGGAGGGCCCGCGUCCCAUCAGCUAGUUGGUAAGGUAAUGGCUUACCAAGGCGAUGACGGGUAGGGGACCUGAGAGGGUGGCCCCCCANAUGGAACUGAAACACGGUCCAUACACCUACGGGUGCAGCAGUAGGGAAUAUUAGU
rnacentral:rRNA from 1 species